UAAAAUUAGAUGUGAAAAAAAAAAACAAGAAAGGUUUCAAAGUUCAAAAAAAAAAUCCCAAAGGUUCGAACGAAGCUAUGUUACUAUAUAUUUAAAGUAUCGACUAGUAGUUAUAUGGUCGAUAAAAGUGGCGUACCAUUUUGACCAUAAUACGUACCAUAUGCGUGUUCUUUUAGGCAAGCAAUGUUCGUAAAAAGAAAGUUUCAACGACCGAACCAAUAAAUAAUUCAGCUUUGAGCUGUCAAA
rnacentral:lncRNA from 1 species